GUUGAACGCUGGCGGCGGGCCUAACACAUGCAAGUCGAACGAGUGGCGGACGGGUGAGUAAUGUCUGGGAAACUGCCUGAUGGAGGGGGAUAACGACUGGAAACGGUAGCUAAUACCGCAUACCAUCAGAUCUGCCCUGAUGGGAUUGGCUAGUUGGUGGGGUAACGGCUAACCAAGGCGACGAUCCCUAGCUGGUCUGAGAGGAUGACCAGCCACACUGGAACUGAGACACGGCCCAGACUCCUACGGGAGGCAGCAGGGGGGAAUAUUGCACAAUGGGCGCAAGCCUGAUGCAGCAAUGCCGCGUGUAUGAAGAAGGCCUUCGGGUUGUAAAGUACUUUCAGUAGGGAGGCGUUACCUGCAGAAGAAGCACCGGCUAACUCCGUGCCAGCAGCCGCGGUAAUUC
rnacentral:rRNA from 1 species